GACGAACGCUGGCGGCGUGCUUAACACAUGCAAGUCGAACGGAAAGGCCCUGCUUUUGUGGGGUGCUCGAGUGGCGAACGGGUGAGUAACACGUGAGUAACCUGCCCUUGACUUUGGGAUAACUUCAGGAAACUGGGGCUAAUACCGGAUAGGAGCUCCUGCUGCAUGGUGGGGGUUGGAAAGUUUCGGCGGUUGGGGAUGGACUCGCGGCUUAUCAGCUUGUUGGUGGGGUAGUGGCUUACCAAGGCUUUGACGGGUAGCCGGCCUGAGAGGGUGACCGGCCACAUUGGGACUGAGAUACGGCCCAGACUCCUACGGGAGGCAGCAGUGGGGAAUAUUGCACAAUGGGCGGAAGCCUGAUGCAGCAACGCCGCGUGCGGGAUGACGGCCUUCGGGUUGUAAACCGCUUUCGCCUGUGACGAAGCGUGAGUGACGGUAAUGGGUAAAGAAGCACCGGCUAACUACGUGCCAGCAGCCGCGGUGAUACGUAGGGUGCGAGCGUUGUCCGGAUUUAUUGGGCGUAAAGGGCUCGUAGGUGGUUGAUCGCGUCGGAAGUGUAAUCUUGGGGCUUAACCCUGAGCGUGCUUUCGAUACGGGUUGACUUGAGGAAGGUAGGGGAGUAUGGAAUUCCUGGUGGAGCGGUGGAAUGCGCAGAUAUCAGGAGGAACACCAGUGGCGAAGGCGGUUCUCUGGGCCUUUCCUGACGCUGAGGAGCGAAAGCGUGGGGAGCGAACAGGCUUAGAUACCCUGGUAGUCCACGCUGUAAACGGUGGGUACUAGGUGUGGGGUCCAUUCCACGGGUUCCGUGCCGUAGCUAACGCUUUAAGUACCCCGCCUGGGGAGUACGGCCGCAAGGCUAAAACUCAAAGGAAUUGACGGGGCCCCGCACAAGCGGCGGAGCAUGCGGAUUAAUUCGAUGCAACGCGUAGAACCUUACCUGGGUUUGACAUGGAUCGGGAGCGCUCAGAGAUGGGUGUGCCUCUUUUGGGGUCGGUUCACAGGUGGUGCAUGGCUGUCGUCAGCUCGUGUCGUGAGAUGUUGGGUUAAGUCCCGCAACGAGCGCAACCCUUGUUCACUGUUGCCAGCACGUUAUGGUGGGGACUCAGUGGAGACCGCCGGGGUCAACUCGGAGGAAGGUGGGGAUGACGUCAAGUCAUCAUGCCCCUUAUGUCCAGGGCUUCACGCAUGCUACAAUGGCUGGUACAGAGAGUGGCGAGCCUGUGAGGGUGAGCGAAUCUCGGAAAGCCGGUCUCAGUUCGGAUUGGGGUCUGCAACUCGACCUCAUGAAGUCGGAGUCGCUAGUAAUCGCAGAUCAGCAACGCUGCGGUGAAUACGUUCCCGGG
rnacentral:rRNA from 1 species